AGUGAGGAUAAUAAUAAUACUGAUAUGCUAGAGUGUUUUUGAGAAUAUAAUGAGUUAAUGGAUGAAACCAGGGAAGAUAGUGAACAUAUUAUAGAAUUAACCUUAUACAAUGAUACCUUCUCAUGUUUCUUUUUUCCCUCUGGGAUUUCAAGUAAGGAAGAACCAUUUUGUUACAACAUCAGAGUUUUAAAGUCUUAAGAUCUCCCUUUCUUUCUGUCUCUUAACUAUCUCCCCUUUCAUCAUUCACUUUUCAUUUCAGCAUAGUCUUGUUCCUUGAAUUGACUUAUGUAAUAAUAUUCAACUGUGCCUCAGACUGCUGCUUGAAGAAUGCUCCAAGAACUAGACCAAUCCCGUGUAAAAGGGCAAGGCCGUCAAGGAGGAGUGAGAGCUGAAAGCACAGCCUUCUCUGGGGCACAGCUGCCAUAUGGAACUUUGUGCACUCCAUAAAGAAUGUCAGGCUUGCACUGGGAGCUAAUCAGAAUGCGUGAACAAACUCAUCAUGGAUAAACUUCUCCAAGCCCAAGUCACAAAAUGGUGAUGAUCUGGACUUGACUGUUUUGAUAUUUGACUAUUUAUUCCAAGUACAUAUGUUGGGCCAAUGGGAAGAAAUAGGGAGGAAUAGCUUAGACACACCCUAAAGGUAUAUAUACCAGGAAUUAAAGUUUAGUGAAACUCAAAUAGAGUCCUUUUGGGAGAAGCACUGGCUACCUGAUGUGACUGAAGCCCAAGCCCCUUGGAAAAGAGUUACAAACAAAACUCAGAGAAAAUGCAGCAUAAUCUCCCCUGACAUCUUACCCUGAUUAGAGGCUUAAAUACUAGAGCUGGAACUAGGGACACUGGUAGAUGUUGACUUUUGGAGAAGAUUAUUUUUAUGGCGUGGUAGGUAGCCUUACGUUUUGUCACGAAAAUCCCUGUAGACCUAAACGGACUUUAUUUCUUUAUUUAUUUUUAUUUUAAGAAAUUGUUUGGCCACACCCGAGACGUGUGGAAGUUCCCAGACCAGGGACCAGACCCGCACCACCCCAGCAACCCAACCUGCAGCAGUGACAAUGCAGAUCCUUAAUUCACUGAGCCACAGAGGAACUCUGACCACAGUGGACUUCAAAUUCCUAAAACAGGACUGGGAGAGCUUAAGAAAAUGCAAAAUCAUCAGCAUUGCUAUCGCAUGGUGGUAUGUCACACAGAACAAGAAUUGUGAAAUGCAUUGGUUUCUAUCAAGAGUUUGCUUGGGCUUCUCUAUAUAUUUUGUAGGGAAAAGAACAGAUUAUUUCAAUUAAAUCGCAUCACAAAAUUGAGUAGGUAUUAUAAUAGGAAGGAGAAGUCAGAAGCAUCCUUUGACUACUGAUGUUUCUCCAGCUCAUAAGACAGACAUUUACAUUCAUUGAUUUAGCAAACUUUUUUUUUUUGACUGCCUAUUAUAUACCAGACACUCUGUUGGCAUCUUGAUUAUAGAGAUAGGCAACAGACAGUUCCCAGCUUCAAAGAAUUUAUAAUCCUGUACUUAUGUGAGUCUGGCUGUUCCAUCUCAGAAGAUCUGAGAAGUGAUCAUUU